rnacentral:rRNA from 1 species
ACGGGUGAGUAACACGUGAGUAACCUGCCCCAGACUUUGGGAUAACCCUCGGAAACGGGGGCUAAUACCGAAUAUGACUCCUGGCCGCAUGGCUGGGUGUGGAAAGUUUUUCGGUUUGGGAUGGACUCGCGGCCUAUCAGCUUGUUGGUGGGGUAAUGGCCUACCAAGGCGACGACGGGUAGCCGGCCUGAGAGGGCGACCGGCCACACUGGGACUGAGACACGGCCCAGACUCCUACGGGAGGCAGCAGUGGGGAAUAUUGCACAAUGGGCGGAAGCCUGAUGCAGCGACGCCGCGUGAGGGAUGACGGCCUUCGGGUUGUAAACCUCUUUCAGCAGGGACGAAGCGCAAGUGACGGUACCUGCAGAAGAAGCGCCGGCCAACUACGUGCCAGCAGCCGCGGUAAGACGUAGGGCGCGAGCGUUGUCCGGAUUUAUUGGGCGUAAAGAGCUCGUAGGCGGCUUGUCGCGUCGACUGUGAAAACCCGAGGCUCAACUUCGGGCUUGCAGUCGAUACGGGCAGGCUAGAGUUCGGUAGGGGAGACUGGAAUUCCUGGUGUAGCGGUGAAAUGCGCAGA